UUGAGAGUUUGAUCCUGGCUCAGAACGAACGCUGGCGGCAGGCCUAACACAUGCAAGUCGAGCGAGACCUUCGGGUCUAGCGGCGGACGGGUUAGUAACGCGUGGGAACGUACCCUUCUCUACGGAAUAGCCAUUGGAAACGAUGAGUAAUACCGUAUACGCCCUUCGGGGGAAAGAUUUAUCGGAGAAGGAUUGGCCCGCGUUAGAUUAGAUAGUUGGUGGGGUAAUGGCCUACCAAGUCGACGAUCUAUAGCUGGUCUGAGAGGAUGAUCAGCCACACUGGGACUGAGACACGGCCCAGACUCCUACGGGAGGCAGCAGUGGGGAAUAUUGGACAAUGGGGGCAACCCUGAUCCAGCCAUGCCGCGUGUGUGAAGAAGGCCUUCGGGUUGUAAAGCACUUUAAGCAGUGAGGAAGGCCAUAGGGUUAAUAGCCCUGUGGAUUGACGUUAACUGCAGAAUAAGCACCGGCUAACUCCGUGCCAGCAGCCGCGGUAAUACGGAGG
rnacentral:rRNA from 1 species